rnacentral:rRNA from 1 species
UACGUAGGGUGCGAGCGUUAAUCGGAAUUACUGGGCGUAAAGCGUGCGCAGGCGGCGGCUCAAGUCAGGUGUGAAAUCCCCGGGCUCAACCUGGGAAUUGCGUUGGAGACUGCAAGGCUGGAGUCUGGCAGAGGGGGGUAGAAUUCCACGUGUAGCAGUGAAAUGCGUAGAGAUGUGAAGGAACACCGAUGGCGCAAGGCAGCCCCCCUGGGUUAACACUGACGCUCAGGCACGAAAGCGUGGGGAGCAAACAGG